UACCCGCUCCCUGGCGGGUGGCGGCGGCAUCGCCCGGGGCCGCGCGGCUGCCGCCCCCCCUGCCCGCUCGCCGUGAGGUCGAGGCGGCCUUGCAGCCGCCUUUCCGAUGCUGGGGAGCUGCCGCUGCGGCUUGUGCCCGGGUGCCGCUGUCGUGGGCCUAGGCCACCCCUGCGGCUGCAUCUCCGGGCUGAGGUUGAGAACCGAGUGUCCGCGCAGCUGGCCACGCGCGUCGCACACUGACCCUUCAUCCUUCGUGCUCGCGCGCUUUUUGCUUUUAAACCUUCUCCGGUGCAAACUGGGCUGAUUUUCUUCUGUCCUCAGCAGACAUGGAGAACAGCUCAUCACUGCCUUCUUUCAUAACGGUUAAAUUAAACAAUGAUUAGAAAAAAAAGGGUCAGGGUCUAAGAAACUUGCUGGUUUGAUGUGUUAAUUUAAGCUCUUUCAACGGGGUUCAGCCAACCAUAUUUAUGUAAUGUUGGCAGAAAAGAGUUUUAAUUCAGUAUUUCUUGACAAAUCACAGUGCAGUUUCAUUAAUGUCUGUCAUUUAAGUAAAAUGACACCUUCAGAUUACAGCGCAGUUAGUAUGAUUACACUAAUGGCCUUGUGAAAGGCCGUUGGAGCUACCACAGUGGAAGCUCAGGGUUUACUGCCAGUCGUGUUUCAUUACUCCCAGCCUUGAAAGGCGAUGGAAAGAGCAGGCGUUAGGGUAUUCUGUCAAAACUGAAAACUGCCUGCCUUUUACUUUAGUUACACCCAACAAAGUUAGCAUUUUAUUAUUAUUAUUAUUUCAUAUUUAACUCUGUAUGUAGGCAGUUGCUGAAAUGUUCUGAGAGUUGCUGAAUAUCUGAUGGUUGGGGGGAGUCUCAGGACUUUGGCUGUUUGUUCUGCUCUUUGUGUGCCCCUCUCUAGGUCCCCAGAUUUGACAGUAUUUCGAUAAUCCUCUUCAGUUAACUGAUUCUCCUCAGAAGAACUGGACUCCUUUGAAGCUGAGGCCCUGCUCUGAAUUACGCGGCGCCUUACAUUCCACCUCGUUCAGUUCUGUCCUGCUGGGCCUCCAGGUUCACACUUAGACGAUGGAUAAGCAUGAAUCCUUGGUUUUCAUACUCUCUUAUAUUCUCCCUUUCUCAUCGAAGAAUUACGAAAAUUUGCAGAGAAACAAAACGAUACAGAAAAGCAGAGCACAGGAAGGCAAGCAAAGCAGAGAGAAUGGAAAAGAGAUUAGGGGAGAUACCUGAAGAGAAUCCUGAUUUUCAGAGCGACUGACAGGGGUAUAGUCAUGAAGCGAAGAGCUGUGCAGAAUACCCAUAGAAGCUGAACUCACCAUGGAGGUGCCGUGUCUUCUACUACUGCCACCUUCCUGGGUAUCUGUUUGGGCAGUUGAAACAAAAACAUUUAAAGAACAAGUAAUGAAGCCGCCUCAACUUCUCUACUUCUCUUCUCAUUUUGGAUUCCAGCUGUGUAAUUUUACUCCUUUAUUCACUCUGAAAUAAUCUAAAACAUUCCUUCCACACCAAUGCUUACACGGUGGCAAAACACCAGUUCCACUAUUUUAGGAGUGACUGCCUGGUUCAUUUGUGCUUUUCUGCUCUCGGUAGCACUCCUCCUCUCCUUGAAAGAAUGGCACAUGCCAUCAUUAGCGUGAGCCCAUUGGCAAGAGGAGCAAAAUGCUUCUAAGGCAUAUAGAUGAAUUACGGAAAAUUCUGAAAGAUACUACACAUGGCCUCUCUGCCCCACUUGCAUUCUGGAUCUUCCUCUCUCAUUCUGCCAUUCAGCAUGAUCUGGCUCUUUACGAUGCUCUUUAUGGCAAAUGCUGCCAGAAUGCCCUCAGCCCCAAGUGUGGGAGCUUGGAUUUAUCCCUUUGUGCUCGCCUGUCACUUUGUGUCCUCAAGAACACCCAACUUUAAGUGCCUUUCUUCUGUUGUGUGUUGUGCGACAUACUAUGGAAAUUCAGUAUGAUUUAGAGCUUAAGACUCACUUAAGACAUAUGGGAUGCAUUUACAGGUGGCUUAAAACCAAAUUUGGCCCAUUUCUCUGUUCUUGCAAAGAUGACAAUUCAGCUGUAAUACCAACAUUACAUUGCAGCAGAAUUAGGAGUUACUAGUGUAUGUCUCGGCAAUCAAUGGCAUUACUGUUCUCUUAAAAAAACAAUGAAACAAUAGAAGUAAAAUGCUGUUUCCAGAAAAACUUACAGUGUAAUAAAAAGCAAUGCAAUUCUUUUGACUUUAGAAAACAAGAUUUUUCACUUCAAAACUCAAAAUAAAAUAAAAUGAGACUAACUCAGUUAAAAUUAAUCCUGUGACCUAACAAAGUUCUCUCUUGCAUAUGGUGCAGUGCCAUGUUCUCCUCUAUAAUAUCCAAGUGUUUAGUCAAACUCUAGUCUUCAAACUAACAAAAUGGUUUUGAACUUUACUUGCAAUAGGGAAGGACCAAAGCUUAAGGAAGUUAUUUUCACUGUUUUAAAAAUAAAAAAUGCACUUGUUCAUUU